GGGUGAUCUGCCCUGCACUCUGGGAUAAGCCUGGGAAACUGGGUCUAAUACCGGAUAGGACCGCAUAGUGGGUUGUGUGGUGGAAAGGUUUUUCUGGUGUGGGAUGAGCCCGCGGCCUAUCAGCUUGUUGGUGGGGUAAUGGCCUACCAAGGCGGCGACGGGUAGCCGGCCUGAGAGGGUGGACGGUCACAUUGGGACUGAGAUACGGCCCAGACUCCUACGGGAGGCAGCAGUGGGGAAUAUUGCACAAUGGGCGCAAGCCUGAUGCAGCGACGCCGCGUGGGGGAUGACGGCCUUCGGGUUGUAAACUCCUUUCGCUACUGACGAAGCCACAGUGUGGUGACGGUAGGUGGAGAAGAAGCACCGGCUAACUACGUG
rnacentral:rRNA from 1 species